ACUGAAAUUUUUAAAAAGUUUUAAAAAAUUAAAAUGAGACAAAGCAUAGGAUGAAACUGUGUUUAUAAACAAUUACAUCUCUGUAUAAUUUGUUCUUGAACUAUUAAUACAGUGAUUUGGCAAAUUCCUCUUUCUCUCCUAGCAGCCCUUCCCUGAAGAAAUUACCUGUCAGUUAUUAUUUCAGAGCAAGUUUAACAACCAGAAUAACAGAUGGACAGAUCUUGCCUAAUAUAAAAAAGAAAUAAAGUAUAUCUCCAAU
rnacentral:lncRNA from 1 species